UCCCUGGUGGCUCAGACGGUAAAGUUUCUGCCUGCAAUGCAGAAAACCCGGGUUCGAUCCCCAAUUCGGGAA
rnacentral:tRNA from 1 species